GACGAACGCUGGCGGCGUGCUUAACACAUGCAAGUCGAGCGAUGAAGUUUCUUCGGAAAUGGAUUAGCGGCGAACGGGUGAGGAACACGUGAAGAAUCUGCCCUCCACUUUGGGAUAACACAGGGAAACCUGUGCUAAUACCGAAUAUUGAAACAUAAGUGGCAUCACUGAGUUUUGAAAGAACUUCGGUGGAGGAUGACUUCGCGGCCUAUCAGCUAGUUGGUGAGGUAAUGGCUCACCAAGGCAACGACGGGCAGCCGGCCUGAGAGGGCGACCGGACACACUAGGACGGAGACACGGCCCAGACUCCUACGGGAGGCAGCAGUGGGGAAUAUGGGGCAAUGGAGGAAACUCUGACCCAGCGACGCCGCGUGCGGGAUGAAGGCCUUCGGGUUGUAAACCGCUUUCAGUAGGGAAGAAGCGAAAGUGACGGUACCUACAAAAGAAGCACCGGCUAACUAUGUGCCAGCCGCCGCCGUAA
rnacentral:rRNA from 1 species